GAAAUGCGAUAAGUAAUGUGAAUUGCAGAAUUCAGUGAAUCAUCGAAUCUUUGAACGCACCUUGCGCUCCUUGGUAUUCCUUGGAGCAUGCCUGUUUGAGUAUCAUGAAAUCUUCAAAGUAAAUCUUUUGUUAACUCAAUUGGUUUCUACUUUGGUAUUGGAGGUCUUUGCAGCUUCACACCUGCUCCUCUUCGUUCAUUAGCUGGAUCUCAGUGUUAUGCUUGGUUCCACUCGGCGUGAUAAGUUAUCUAUCGCUGAGGACACUGUAAAAGGUGGCCAAGGUAAAUGCAGAUGAACCGCUUCUAAUAGUCCAUUGACUUGGACAAUACUUUUAUGAUCUGAUCUCAAAUCAGGUAGGACUACCCGCUGAACUUAAGA
rnacentral:misc_RNA from 1 species